rnacentral:rRNA from 1 species
CACCACGUUGAUAGGCCGCAUGUGUAAGUCUCGCAAGGGAUUUAGCUAAGCGGUACUAAUCGGUCCACAGGCUUGACCUU